UUCGGCCUCUGGCCGAGGAUGGGUCCGCGGCGGAUUAGCUAGUUGGCGGGGUAACGGCCCACCAAGGCGACGAUCCGUAGCUGGUCUGAGAGGACGAACAGCCACACUGGGACUGAGGCACGGCCCAGACUCCUACGGGAGGCAGCAGUGGGGAAUAUUGCGCUAAUGCGGGAAACCGUGACGCAGCGACGCCGCGUGAGGGAAGAAGGCCUUCGGGUUGUAAACCUCUUUCAGGAGGGAAGAAGCUACUCGGGUGAAUAGCCCAGAGGGUGACGGUACCUCCAGAAGAAGCCCCGGCUAACUACGUGCCAGCAGCCGCGGUAAUACGUAGGGGGCAAGCGUUGUCCGGAUUCAUUGGGCGUAAAGAGCGUGUAGGCGGUCAGGUAGGUCGGUUGUGAAAACUGGAGGCUCAACCUUCAGACGUCGACCGAAACCCCCUGGCUAGAGUCCGGGAGAGGAGAGUGGAAUUCCUGGUGUAGCGGUGGAAGGCGCAGAUAUCAGGAAGAACACCCGUGGCGAAAGCGGCUCUCUGGAACGGUACUGACGCUGAGACGCGAAAGCGUGGGGAGCGAACAGGAUUAGAUACCCUGGUAGUCCACGCCGUAAACGAUGGGCGCUAGGUGUGGGAGGUGUCGACUCCUUCCGUGCCGAAGCUAACGCAUUAAGCGCCCCGCCUGGGGAGUACGGCCGCAGGGCUAAAACUCAAAGGAAUUGACGGGGACCCGCACAAGCAGCGGAGCAUGUGGUUUAAUUGGAUGCGACGCCAAGAACCUUACCAAGGCUCGACAUGAUCGGGAAAGC
rnacentral:rRNA from 1 species